rnacentral:SRP_RNA from 1 species
GCCGGGGACCUUGUGAAAUGGCAGGAGUUCGAACCAGGUCAGGAUCGGAAGAUAGCAGCCUUAAGGAUUACGCUGUCAUGUCAUGAGUCUUCUCCGGCCUU